UUCGACAAGCGGGACGGAUGUGUUCACAAUCCCUAGUGAGAUUGGGUUAGAGAUUGCUUUUCUACAGAUAGUUAGUGUUGAAUUGUGAUAGUAUAGUGACAUAUAGUUGUAGAUUUGUUCCAGCUUCCUUUACUAUCUUUAAGCAUAUAUCUAUAGACUUAAUAGGUGAAUCGUUGAGGUCGGUAGCGGUACCCAUUGAGGACUACUUUUUGCAGUAGUUCUCAUGCCAGUUGUUGGAAACCUUUUGCAGAG
rnacentral:lncRNA from 1 species